GACGGAGGGUGCUAGCGUUGUUCGGAAUUACUGGGCGUAAAGGGCGCGUAGGCGGCCUCUUAAGUCGGGUGUGAAAGCCCGGGGCUCAACCCCGGAACGGCCCUCGAUACUGUGGGGCUUGAGACCGGAAGAGGUGAGUGGAAUACCCAGUGUAGAGGUGAAAUUCGUAGAUAUUGGGUGGAACACCGGUGGCGAAGGCGGCUCACUGGUCCGGUUCUGACGCUGAUGUGCGAAAGCGUCGGGAGCAAACAGG
rnacentral:rRNA from 1 species